rnacentral:misc_RNA from 1 species
AUAAUUGACCAUCUAAUAUGGACAAUUAAAUCCAUAUUCACCUUGUGUGCAUCUAUUGAAAUUAUGCUUUGGCGGUAUAGUUCUGAAUUUUGAAUUCAGGGCAAAGAUCCUUUAUUUUAAAAGGCAUCUUAGGCCGCCAGAGUUUUCUUGUCUAAUCUACGCUUUUAAAUAAUUUGUCUGAAAUUUGAUUCUAAAUAAUAAUCAAAAUA